rnacentral:tRNA from 4 species
GGAGAAAUACUCAAGAGGCUAAAGAGGCACCCCUGCUAAGGGUGUAGAUCAGGAAACUGGUGCGAGGGUUCGAAUCCCUCUUUCUCCGCCA